UCUCUACCUUGCUCUCUCCCAGCGUGUGUGUGCUGCACGGAGCUGGAGAUAAAUGUCCAUUUUGUGUGUGAGCAAAUAUUGAGUAAAGACGCUGUUUAAACUGUACUACAGUGAUACACAAGUACCCUCGUUGGAGAUUUUUUUAGUUAUCAACCGAGUUGGAUAAACUUUUGCGCUGUUUGAUUGAGGGAGACUCCGGUUGUUUUAAUAGACGGGAGAAACGAGUGAACUUGUCAAAUCCAAGAUGGCGAGCCAACCCUGAAACUACGAUCCCCAGAAUCCUAUGCGAGCGUUUUCCCGCCACCCGAGCCCCAACGGCGCCUCGAGGAGGGAAACAGAUAAGAGGAGCAGAGUCACACACACACACACUCUCUAAAAAAAAAAACGUAGUCUACCCGGGUAGUGAAGAGACCCACUUUUUCUGACAAUAGCAAACUCAAAUCAUAAAAAAAAGAAGAAGAGACACGGACUGAAACAAACAUAAAAAAAGGGGACUGUUGGUUUUUUUUUUUUACAUUUAAAUGCUGUUUCACGAAGAAGAUUGUGAUUAGUUAAUGAGUUCUGUAAGGGUUGUUGAGCAGAUUGUGUUCUGAUUUACUUGAUACUGCAUAGAUGCAUGCACUGUAUUUCUUUAUUUUGAGGUUUUGGAUUUUGUUUUGUUUAUUAACUCAUUCAGUGAAUUUACAGUAUUAAGCCCCAUUGAAUUAAGCCACAUCCCCUUUUUAUUAUUUUUUCCCUUUCCCCAUUUAAUUUCAUCCACACCCAUAUUCUCUUCAUAGUCACUAAAGGUACAUUUUAUUUAUUUUUGUUCUUUUAAUAAAUAACCUGCAUCUUGAACUCUGUAUAAAUA